UACGUAGGGGGCAAGCGUUGUCCGGAUUUAUUGGGCGUAAAGAGCGUGUAGGCGGCCAAGUAAGUCUGCUGUGAAAACUCGAGGCUUAACCUCGAGCUGUCGGCGGAAACUAUUUGGCUAGAGUCCGGAAGAGGAGAAUGGAAUUCCCGGUGUAGCGGUGAAAUGCGCAGAUAUCGGGAAGAACACCCGUGGCGAAGGCGGUUCUCUGGGACGGUACUGACGCUGAGGAGCGAAAGCGUGGGGAGCGAACAGG
rnacentral:rRNA from 1 species